UACCAGCACCUCGAGUGGUCGGGACGAUUAUUGGGCCUAAAGCAUCCGUAGCCGGUUCUACAAGUCUUCCGUUAAAUCCACCUGCUUAACAGAUGGGCUGCGGAGGAUACUAUGGAGCUAGGAGGCGGGAGAGGCAAGCGGUACUUAGUGGGUAGGGGUAAAAUCCGUUGAUCCAUUGAAGACCACCAGUGGCGAAGGCGGCUUGCCAGAACGCACUCGACGGUGAGGGAUGAAAGCUGGGGGAGCAAACCGG
rnacentral:rRNA from 1 species